UAUAACCACUUUUAAAUUGGAGCCCGAGUGCACGAGAGUUCGCUUGAUGCGCGGCGGCUCCGGCAGACGAGGAACGCGUGGCGACGAGAGAGGUGGCUUGUCUUUUUUUGUGGUUUGCGCUCUCGUUUUUUUCCCCGGGGACGACAAGUGGACGUUUUCUGGAUUCAGCGGCCUUUUUUACGGAGGGAAGAGAUCUUUCUGGACGUCGAAUUGCACAACCGGCUUCAUACGAGUUCGACAACUAUUUGCCUUGGACUUUCAACGAGCUGCAGGGAUCUUAAGGAUCGCACCAAUUGGGCAUGCGGUGGGAACUUCGAUCGUCUUGGUGGUCUUCGCUGUUAGCACGACAGACAUCGCAUUCGGUUUAACGCAAUCUUUUUGCAUGUUCAAUUGUUAUACCCAAAGAGCGUAUGGGACGCCGUGAAACGGUGAAAAGGGGCGGCAAAGCGGAUUAUGCAGUAUACAACUAUUGCUUUAUCUCCAGGUUCGCGCUGAGACUUGUGCUCAUGCGGUUAAUUAUGAAGCACUGUUUACCUGCGGUUCUUCAAAUAUGCAAGUGGAGUCUAGGGCGAGCACCACAUCCCCCGACGAGAACAAAGCGUCUUCAACUAUUUAAACAGGCCGUAUACAACAUUGAAACUGCCUAACAUAACUUAUCUAAGUGAUAUUGACUUACAACAGAGCCAGAUAUUACAUUAGAUGAAAACGAAGUCGAAAUAAGGAUUUCUACAAGAAAUUUACGAUCUUUCUACAAGAAAUCCUUCAACCUGAUGAUGAGCUAAGGGCUCGAAAUCCGGACGUUACAAAACAACUUAAUGUGAGUAAGAACUCUUUUUUAAAAAAGGAUAAGUUUGAUUGCAAUGUCUUA